rnacentral:rRNA from 1 species
CUACGGGCGGCUGCAGUGGGGAAUAUUGGACAAUGGGGGAAACCCUGAUCCAGCAAUGCCGCGUGUGUGAAGAAGGCCUGCGGGUUGUAAAGCACUUUCGGUUGGGAGGACUGCUUCUAGCACUAAUAUUGUUGGAAGUUGACGUUACCUUCAGAAGAAGCACCGGCUAACUCCGUGCCAGCAGCCGCGGUAAUACGGAGGGUGCAAGCGUUAAUCGGAAUUACUGGGCGUAAAGCGCGCGUAGGCGGCUAGAUCAGUCGGGUGUGAAAGCCCCGGGCUUAACCUGGGAACUGCAUCUGAUACUGUCUAGCUUGAGUACAGGAGAGGAGAGUGGAAUUCCACAUGUAGCGGUGAAAUGCGUAGAUAUGUGGAGGAACACCAAUGGCGAAGGCAGCUCUCUGGCCUGAUACUGACGCUGAGGUGCGAAAGCGUGGGGAGCAAACAGGGUUAGAUACCCUGGUAGUC